GUGCCUUUGUAAGAGGAAAUUUAGGCUGCAGCACCUGAGCAUGAGCUCUUGGAUAACUGGGGGCCACUGGCCACGUAUGGGUGGCCCUUUUAAAAGUGAGCAACACAG